GUGACAUCUAAUAUUUUUUCCCCCUCUUGUUCUACAAGCUAUUUGAAGAAAAAUGUUCCGCUCUAAGUCAGAUUCCUCCGCGUGACGAUGAUGAUGAUGGCGACGAUGAUAACGAUGAUGCUGGAUUGGUGAGGCGAAAUAUGUAUCGGAGAAAAAAGAAGAGAAGAGUUGAUGGGGAUGAAAGCUUUUGUGGAGAAAGAAGAUGAGUUGAUGUAUCUUAGUUUUUUUUUAAAUUUAACUCCUUGUUUAACUUCUUGGAUUAUUAGACUUUAUAAAUAUUUGAGUGUUGAACUUGUAUAA